rnacentral:pre_miRNA from 1 species
NNNAAUCCGUGUCGAAGGUUUGACCGUCCGUCUUAUUUGAAAAAUUUAUAAAAAUAUUAAAAAAAUAGUCACACAUAAAGUACUAUUUAUGUUUUAUCAUCUACUAACAACAAAAAAAAUACUAAUCAUAGAAAAAUUUCAAAUAAGACGAGCGGUCAAACAUUAAACGUGAACAGUGCAAAACUACAUUUAUU